rnacentral:rRNA from 1 species
GCUUGCGCUCGGUUGAGAAGAGUCUCAUCCGGUAGAGCGAAUGAUUAGAGGCAUUGGGGUCGAAACGACCUCAACCUAUUCUCAAACUCCAAAUAGAUGAGACCCCCGGCUUUCUUAAAAUGAAGCCUGGGAAUAGGAUCAGAGUGCCAAGUGGGCCAAUUUUGGUAAGCAGAACUGGCGCUGUGG